UACAGAGGUCUCAACCGUUGUUCGGAUUCAUUGGGCGUAAAGGGUGCGUAGGCGGCGGGGCAAGUCAGGUGUGAAAUCUCGGGGCUCAACCCCGAAACUGCACUUGAUACUGCCUUGCUCGAGUACUGGAGAGGAGACUGGGAAUUUACGGUGUAGCAGUGAAAUGCGUAGAUAAUCGUAAGGAAGACCAGUGGCGAAGGCGAGUCUCUGGACAGUUACUGACGCUGAGGCACGAAGGCCAGGGGAGCAAACGGG
rnacentral:rRNA from 1 species